CCUUCGAUAGCUCAGUUGGAAGGGCGCGGGACUGUAAUAGGAUACCAAAGAUUGUAUGAAGUAUAUCCCGAGGUCACUGGAUCGACGCCGGUUCGAAGGA